UUUCAUAUUAUUUAUCUGUGAAAGAAGACGUGGCUUUUGUUUCUUUCUUGGCCGUGUAUACAAAUUAUUACCUUCUGUUCCGAAAUUAUCUAUUUAUUAUCUAUCCAUCCAUCUUUUAGAGUAUAAUUAUUAUUUCACAUAAUAGAAUUCAAAUCAAAUGUAAUUGUUCCGAGAAAAAAAACAACAACAACACUUCUUUAGUCAUUUGUGAAUAGCAAUAGUGAUCUCUCGUGUACUUUUGUCCUUCUUGGAGUUGCUGUGCUUCUUAGUCUAGAAGAUGGCGGCUUCUGGCUUGAAAUGUACGUAAUUUACCCAGCAGGGGAUCUUGUGGAAGAAUCAUAUUACGCUGUUGUAGCUCAAGAGUCUGAUAUUAACCCUACCGCCGAUUUAGUCAUCGAUCCGAUUUACCACGAUACGACUGACGAAGUAAACAACGCUUUUCAGUUUGUUCGAUUACCCCUUGAGUUCGUUCUUCCUGGAAACUCGGAAAAUCUCUCAAAAAUUAAUUCAGAGUGCCCUGGUUCUAGUGGAUAUAGGGGAAGAGUCAAUGCAGUAAUUAAAAUGUCAGCCUCGUCCGGAGCCGCGGCUGCCGUGGCAGCGGGGCUCCCGGCGGAACAAGUCCGCAGCUUGCCCUUGGAAUUGGCAGUAUGACUUCUGAAAUUACGAGGGACACCAAUCGCCUUCUUAUAAGGGACCUUAUUGAUCCCACCCUCACGGAACCUCUUAAAAAUCAACAGCAGACCACUUUUAAACUCAUCAAGACAAUGUCGGAUUUUACUCAUGACCUCUCCAAGAUACAUGAACAACACUCGGAUGAUUUACAAAAUCUAGUUGAGGAUUAUCGACGAAGGAAUUCCGAUUUCCGAGGGGACAGAGUCACGUCAUCGAAUAAUAGUCUUCUCUCACUAUGGGACUCUUUUCUUCAAGAAAUCGAAAUGGAUUCUCAAAUCCAUUCAGAUAUUGCUGGGAUCUUUCUAAGAGUCAUUUCCAGACCCCUCCUUGAAAAAACCUUUCAUAUGAAGAUUCAAAGUCGGAAAGUGUUUAAUCAUCGGGAGAGCUUUGAGUCCGUUCUAGGAAAAACUGAAGAAAUGCUAAUCAAAUGCCAUGAAGAUUAUUCUAAGUCAUUCGAGUAUCAGCAAGAGGAAACAAGUCCAUCGAAUAAUUUGAAAUUAAUUGAAUCACACAAUAAUUACAUACAGCAACUUCACGCAUCCAAUGGUAUGAUCGACCAGUAUUACAAAGAGACCUUGCCACAACUCCUACAGGAAUUGGAUGAUGUAUACCAAGAUGUGAGCGCUGUUGUUGAAGAAGCUUUUGCUCAAGGCACGGAUGUUAUUUCCCUAAAAUCCGUGGACACCUCUCGCCGCUAUGAAGGAUUAACCUUGCUCUCAAAAAACAUAAAGCCCUCAGCUGAUCUAAAUGCCUUCGUUAAAACUUUGAACAUUCCAGAUUCCAUGACCAUUACCAAACAUUUAUAUUUCUCUCCACCUCAAGUAACUGUCGAUCAUCCACAACCAAUUCCUCUCAUUUUCCGUGAUGAAAUACAUGUAGACCGAGUAUCUCAAUCCUCAAUUAGAAAUCGUUUUGAAAAUUUACGUAAGGAGUCCUUUGAAUUAGACUCACAAACUCGCCAAUUGAAUGAUGCCUUAGAGACUCUGGUUCGAAUACAAGCUAGAAGCUUGGAGAAUCAACUCUAUAAUAAAGUCAAUGAAUUGCAAGAAGACAUCAGUUUGAAGAGAUUUGAUCUACGCAUCGCAAAUUUACAUUUAGCAGCAAUUCAAUCUCAGAAAGAGUUAUUUGCAACAAAAUGUGAGACUUCAAUGAGCGGAUUAGGAACUCCUCCUUCAUCAGCCUCGGGAUCUACAGCUGCUGUCAACUCUGCUGAUCUCCUUCUUCGUGAGCGUAAAUUGAGUUCGUCCUCGGGUGGAACCACUGGAGGAGCAUCUGGUGGUAUGAAAAAUAAAUGGGUGAAGGCAUUUAAAAGCAUAAAAGGAUCUUCUGGAAAAGAUCAGCCAACAGAAAGACAAAGAACUGGCAACACUUCUGCUCAGGCUCUUUUGGAAACGAACCAUAUAUUCCAAGAAUAUACUUAUAAAAAAAUCACACCCUGUGAUGUUUGCUCCCAAAUUCUCAGAGGCCAUACUCGACAGGGGAUGAAAUGCAAACUAUGUCGGCUUAAUGUACAUCCUGAUUGUCAAGAAAAAGCUGCGAAAUGUCAGCCAAAAACACGUUUACUUCGAAGACAGAAAUCAGCUUCAGAGCUCGAUCCUCGGAUAGGAAAUCUUGUUGAUGAGGACAUUGUUCGUAAGAUUGAGAAUCGUCGAUCCCCUCCAGAAAUCCCUAGGUAUGACACAGAUCCUAACAAAUAUGACUCUAGAUCCUCCGCGCAAGAGAUUGUAAUUUCUCGAGCCCCAACUCUUGACUACGGUGGUAACAAUACUCCUUAUAGACCUUCUUUCUCAAGAUAUCAUCCAGGAGCGUCAAAUACAUUAACCAUUUCCGGGUCCAUCAAAUCCCAUAUCCCAAAAUCAGGUCUGUACGAGUAUUACGAGCCUGAAGCGAUUAUAGAUCCUGGGAACAACAACACACCAGGUUCAUCAGAAAAAGUAUUCAUUGGAGGCUCUUACUCUGCAUCCACGGGUUGUUCAUCAAAUCUAAUAGACUCUUAUAGAGGCAAUAACGAUACACCCAAGUUAGCAAACCUAGUAGCUGGACUCAUUCAAAGCCAUGCACUUAUGAGUGGAGGAAUUGCAAUAGGAGCAGCAAUUAGACCUGAAGUAGCUGCUGCAAAUUUGAGUCAUUUAAGUCGUUAUAAUUCUAAAAAGGAUAUAACAGAAGAAGUAAAGUCUCCUGCCUCUGAUGCUAAAGCUAAAUUUAGACAAGCCACACAAGCUUUGGCUAAACAACGCACCCUCGAGUCCGGUCCAAAGCCGUCGCCCGGGACAGCUUCGAACAACAACAACAACUCGAAUGUCAUCUGUUGAGCUCCCGGAUGAAGCUGAAAAAUCCGUAAGCUCAGCAUCCACUUCACCUUGUCCAUCCCCGAAACCUAAUCGUUUUACGUUAGCCAAUGUAUUUGUUGUGUUAUACAACUUUAAACCCAGACAUGCCGAUGAAUUGGACUUAAAAGCCGGACAAAUGCUAACAGUCAUUGAUACGUCAGAUAAAGAUUGGUGGAAAGGGAAAUGCCUUGGAUCCAUUGGCUUCUUUCCUUCCACCUAUGUUAAUAAACUUCUUCCGGGCGAAAAACCUUUCCAAGUGCAACAAACAAUUCAAAUUUCUUCAUUGGA
rnacentral:misc_RNA from 1 species